rnacentral:lncRNA from 1 species
CAAAUGCUUCAGUCAACUUCUCAGAGUUUUCUAAGAAGUGCUCAGAGAGGUGGAAGACCAUGUCUGCUCAACAGAAAGGAAAAUUGGAAGACAUGGCAAAGGCGGACAAGGCCCGUUAUGAAAGAGAAACGAAAACCUAUAUCCCUCCUAAAGGGGAAACAAAAAAGAAGUUCAAGGAUCCCAAUGCACCCAAGAGGCCUCCGCUGGCCUUCUUCUUGUUCUGUUCUGAGUAUCGCCCCAAAAUCAAGGGAGAACAUCCUGGCCUACCCACUGGUGAUGUUGCAAAGAAACUGGGAGAGAGGUGG